rnacentral:rRNA from 1 species
UACGAAGGGGGCUAGCGUUGCUCGGAAUCACUGGGCGUAAAGGGCGCGUAGGCGGACUUUUAAGUCGGAGGUGAAAGCCCAGGGCUCAACCCUGGAAUUGCCUUCGAUACUGGGAGUCUUGAGUUCGGAAGAGGUUGGUGGAACUGCGAGUGUAGAGGUGAAAUUCGUAGAUAUUCGCAAGAACACCGGUGGCGAAGGCGGCCAACUGGUCCGAAACUGACGCUGAGGCCGCGAAAGCGUGGGGAGCAAACAGG